rnacentral:rRNA from 1 species
CCUACGGGAGGCAGCAGCAGGGAAUCUUGCGCAAUGGGCUAAGGCCUGACGCAGCGACGCCGCGUGCGGGAAGAAGGCCUUCGGGUCGUAAACCGCUUUUAUUAGGGAAAAACCUUCGGGUGAUUGUACCUAACGAAUAAGGGAGCCUAAUUCUGUG